rnacentral:rRNA from 1 species
GACGAACGCUGGCGGCGUGCCUAACACAUGCAAGUUGAGCGACGAACCAGGGCUUGCCCUGGGGCAAAGCAGCGAACGGGUGAGUAACACGUGGGUAACCUACCCCGAUAACCGGGACAACCCGAGGAAACUCGGGCUAAUACCGGAUGUGCUCACUGGACUUCGGUUCAGUGCGUAAAGGAAGCUUCGGCCUCCGUAUCGGGAGGGGCCCGCGGCCCAUUAGUUUGUUGGUGAGGUAACGGCUCACCAAGACCGCGAUGGGUAGCUGGUCUGAGAGGACGAUCAGCCACACUGGGACUGAGACACGGCCCAGACUCCUACGGGAGGCAGCAGUGGGGAAUCUUGCGCAAUGCGCGAAAGCGUGACGCAGCAACGCCGCGUGGGGGAAGAAGGCCUUCGGGUUGUAAAACCCUUUCAGGAGGGACGAAGGUUCGGCGGUGAAUAGCCGUCCGGACUGACGGUACCUCCACAAGAAGCCCCGGCUAACUACGUG